rnacentral:lncRNA from 1 species
UAGGGGUGGUAAUUCGGUUCCGGUUAUUCGGUUAUAACCGUAACCGAACCGAAAUUUUGAUUAAUCGGUUAACCGAUAACCGAAAUUUACCGGUUCGGUUCGGUUAUCGGUUAUUAGAUUUUAAAUAUACCGGUUAUUCGGUUUAACCGGUAACCGGCCGGUUAAAACCGAAUAACCGAUUAAUUAACCGGUUAAAUAAUACUUAAUUAAUACAUAUAUUUAUUAUAUAUAACAGGCAUCCCAAAUAAAUAAAUUAAAUACUGUUCGGCCCAUAUGAAAGAGGAAGACCCAUCUCUAUUUAAAAAGUCAGCCCAUCUCUUCCAAAAUUUGACUAAACCCUUUUCCUCUUUUUGAAACUCAAUUCAAGUACUCAACCCUUCUCCUCAAUUCGUCCCGUUCGUCCCCUUCUUCUCGGACAGCUGCUGCUCCACUCUUCCAACCCCAACGCCGUUUAAGUUUGCCAGAUCCGACGCCGAGCACGACAAAUCUGGAGAAACCCGUGUUGUCGCCGACAGCGCGGAGGAGGAGAAAGGAACCAACGGCGGAACUACACCGUGCACUUCGAGAAAUUCAGCUGCGCCACCGCGGCUCUCAAAAUCCGGCGAGGUUGUCGCUUACUGACUUCCGGCGCCGACCCCUUCUCCUUGGAUUCCCUCUCUCAAUUUAAUCAACGCCGCCUCUGAAAUCCGCGCUGCCGUCGAAGACGCCUUCACAUAGCCACCAUUUCCCUUCGAGUUCUGAUCUGCCAUGUUUU